UCUUGCUUCGGCAGUGCAUAUACUAAAAUUGGAACGUUAUAGAGAAGAUUAGCAUGGCCCUGCGCAAGCAUGACACGCGAAAUCGUGAAGCGUUCCACUUUUUU
rnacentral:snRNA from 1 species